rfam:Aedes albopictus isolate Foshan contig42107, whole genome shotgun sequence.
UGUGCUGUGGCUUAGUUGGUUAAAGCGCCGCACUAGCGAUACGGAGUCGUGGGUUCGAAUCCCACCAAAACAA